AGAGUUUGAUCCUGGCUCAGGAUGAACGCUGGCGGCGUGCUUAACACAUGCAAGUCGAACGAACCUUCGGGUUAGUGGCGGACGGGUAAGUAACGCGUGAGAAUCUGCCCUCAGGAGGGGGAUAACGGCUGGAAACGGCCGCUAAUACCCCAUAUGCCGAGAGGUGAAAUGAAUUUCGCCUGAGGAUGAGCUCGCGUCUGAUUAGCUAGUUGGUGGGGUAAGAGCCUACCAAGGCUUCGAUCAGUAGCUGGUCUGAGAGGAUGAUCAGCCACACUGGGACUGAGACACGGCCCAGACUCCUACGGGAGGCAGCAGUGGGGAAUUUUCCGCAAUGGGCGAAAGCCUGACGGAGCAACGCCGCGUGAGGGAUGAAGGCCUCUGGGCUGUAAACCUCUUUUCUCAAGGAAGAAGAUCUGACGGUACUUGAGGAAUAAGCCACGGCUAAUUCCGUGCCAGCAGCCGCGGUAAUACGGGAGUGGCAAGCGUUAUCCGGAAUUAUUGGGCGUAAAGCGUCCGCAGGCGGCCUUGAAAGUCUGCUGUUAAAGCGUGGAGCUUAACUCCAUUUCAGCAGUGGAAACUACAAGGCUAGAGUGUGGUAGGGGCAGAGGGAAUUCCCGGUGUAGCGGUGAAAUGCGUAGAUAUCGGGAAGAACACCAGUGGCGAAGGCGCUCUGCUGGGCCAUAACUGACGCUCAUGGACGAAAGCCAGGGGAGCGAAAGGGAUUAGAUACCCCUGUAGUCCUGGCCGUAAACGAUGAACACUAGGUGUCGGGGGAAUCGACCCCUCCGGUGUCGUAGCCAACGCGUUAAGUGUUCCGCCUGGGGAGUACGCACGCAAGUGUGAAACUCAAAGGAAUUGACGGGGGCCCGCACAAGCGGUGGAGUAUGUGGUUUAAUUCGAUGCAACGCGAAGAACCUUACCAGGGUUUGACAUCCUGCGAAUCCCUUGGAAACGAGGGAGUGCCUUCGGGAGCGCAGUGACAGGUGGUGCAUGGCUGUCGUCAGCUCGUGUCGUGAGAUGUUGGGUUAAGUCCCGCAACGAGCGCAACCCACGUCUUUAGUUGCCAGCAUUGAGUUGGGCACUCUAGAGAGACCGCCGGUGAUAAACCGGAGGAAGGUGUGGAUGACGUCAAGUCAUCAUGCCCCUUACAUCCUGGGCUACACACGUACUACAAUGCUACGGACAAAGGGCAGCAAACUCGCGAGAGCUAGCAAAUCCCAUAAACCGUGGCUCAGUUCAGAUCGUAGGCUGCAACUCGCCUACGUGAAGGAGGAAUCGCUAGUAAUCGCAGGUCAGCAUACUGCGGUGAAUACGUUCCCGGGCCUUGUACACACCGCCCGUCACACCAUGGAAGUUGGCCACGCCCGAAGUCGUUACUCCAACCCGCAAGGGAGGAGGAUGCCGAAGGUGGGGCUGAUGACUGGGGUGAAGUCGUAGCAAGGUA
rnacentral:rRNA from 1 species